rnacentral:rRNA from 1 species
GUAGGUGGCAAGCGUUGUCCGGAAUUAUUGGGCGUAAAGCGCGCGCAGGCGGUUCUUUAAGUCUGAUGUGAAAGCCCACGGCUCAACCGUGGAGGGUCAUUGGAAACUGGAGAACUUGAGUACAGAAGAGGAAAGCGGAAUUCCACGUGUAGCGGUGAAAUGCGUAGGGAUGUGGAGGAACACCAGUGGCGAAGGCGGCUUUCUGGUCUGUAACUGACGCUGAGGCGCGAAAGCGUGGGGAGCAAACAGGGAUUAGAUACCCUGGUAGUCCACGCCGUAAACGAUGAGUGCUAAGUGUUAGGGGGGUUCCCCGCCACUUAGUGCUGCAGCUAACGCAUUAAGCACUCCGCCUGGGAGUACGGCCGCAAGGCUG